AUGCGUUUCAAGUACAGUCGUCUGGAGGUCAUGCAAUGAAUUGUAAGGGGACAUGAAUGACACAAGGGACUACCCACACUUUUUUCUGAAAAAAUGUAAUUAUUCUUUCUGGUACCUGUUGAAGAAAUGGUUCACAUUCACUUGGAUAUCAGCCAGGUCUCUAUACAUCUGUAAGAUGCUAAGUUUUACACCAGGUCUCUGAGAACAGUUUUCAGAAGGAAAUCUGAAAUGCAAGCAUAUGAAAAUGGCAAAGGUGAAACUGGAUGUUAAAUGAAUACCUGAGAACAAGAGAAGCACAAGAGUUCUCUGACCCAGUGGACCAUAAGAGCUAAACACCUAUGAUACAUACGGGAAGGAGAGACCAAGAAAUGCAGUUAUCUACUCUAAGGCCAUUAUUGCUCUGGGUGCACUUUGAAGGAUUUCUGAAGGAUCUGCCCUUCUCUACUGAAGACAGUCAGAAUGGCUUCAUAAAGCCAGGCUUGGGCACUGUGGUAUGAAUAUUAAAGAAUGCAUUAGUUUCUUUUCAUAUCUCUUGAAUAAUUUCACAACAAGUAACAGUAGCAUUGUCCUCCUGGUGAAAUAGGUGAAAAUCUACACCAAAUUGAACUAAUUCAGGGCUACCUAAUCCCCAGCAACAAUGCUAGAAACCACGCUGUUCUUUGCUCAUUACUUUGAGCCAUUUUUCCCAUUAAACUUCUCCUUUUUAAUAAAGGGCUCAGUAACCUACAGAUGAAUGCUAUUCAGAACUGAAUUUUUAUGAAUACAAUACUCUUUUGUGAUAUUUCAAAGGUCCAAGAAUAGGUUGUGUGAGCAUGUAGAAAACAGUGAGCUAUUUCUGAAGGGGAAAUCUACAUGGAGCCAAAAUAUUAGAGUCUGAAGAGACUUAAGAGAUUUCCAGGGCCACCCAGAAGUGGAAUUAAUGAGUUUUCAGUACACCAUCUUAUGUGUACCUACAGCAAUGGCUCUUCCAUGAAUGAACAGAAAAUAAAUCUCAAGAGAUUUCUACGUGAAAGUGCAUUUUACAUGGAAAGAUUAAUUACAUAUAUAUUUUGAAAUAUACUAUUUAAAAAGGGAUUAUCUUAACUUUAAACAAUUUAGACGUCAAAGGCUGAGGUACUCAUUCUGGAGGACAACUGUCACAAUGCAAAUCCUAUUUCAUUCAUUUAAACAAUAAUAAAUGGCCACGGACUAUAAAUAAAUAAAUAAUGUUUAACC
rnacentral:lncRNA from 7 species